UACGGAGGGGGCUAGCGUUGUUCGGAAUUACUGGGCGUAAAGCGCACGUAGGCGGCUUGGUAAGUUAGAGGUGAAAGCCUGGAGCUCAACUCCAGAAUUGCCUUUAAGACUGCCGAGCUAGCAGGUGAGAGAGGUGAGUGGAAUUCCGAGUGUAGAGGUGAAAUUCGUAGAUAUUCGGAAGAACACCAGUGGCGAAGGCGGCUCACUGGCCCGAUACUGACGCUGAUGCACGAAAGCGUGGGGAGCAAACAGG
rnacentral:rRNA from 1 species